ensembl:lncRNA novel transcript
CUGUGAUGUGGAGGCCAUAGCUCCACUGGACUCAUGAGGAGACUGAGGCUCAGAGCAAUGAAGUGACCUGCUCAAAGUUAAGGAGCUUCAGUUUGGACCCAAUUUGUUCUGAUCCUAAGGUCACUAUCCUUAAUCCCUCUCCCUGUGGGGUCUUCCCUAUCUUGAGCCUGUGGACAGCUGUGCAGUGGCAAGAAAAAGGCCUUCAGAGCUACGCAGACCUGGCUUCAAAUCCCAGCCUCCCUGAUGAGCCCUGGUGGUCUUGCAUGCUUGCCCUUGGGACUCAGACACCAUAUUGUGAGGAAGCCCAAGCUACAUGCAGAGGCCACUAUAGUUGUUCUGGCCAACAGCCCAAGCUUCAGCUGCCAGACAUAUAAAUAAACCAACUCUUCAAAUGAUUUCAGUUUCCAGACUUCAGUGCAUCCCAGGUAAUGUCCAGAGGAGCAGAGAUGAACCAUCCUCUCUGAGCCCUGCCCAAAUGCAGACUUGAGAACAAACUAAAUGUCAUUGUCUCAAGCCACCAAUUUUCAGGGUGGCUUGGUACACAGCACCAGGUAACAGGAAUAGCCCCCCUCUUCCUCUGCAGCUCUCCCCAGGUACAGGCAAGCUCCCCAACCCAUGCUUCAUCCCCACCCCACAGACAGAACCUGGAGUCAGUCCUCCCACCCACAACUGUGCCUUCCAAACUAAGCUCAAAGCCCAGCUCUGUUGCUUUCAGAUGGGUGCCCUAGGGCAAGUCACCAACCCUAUAUGACAAAUCCCUCUGUGUCAAAUGGGAAUUAUAAUAGUGCCCCUGAGGAGUCUUGGAGAGAUUUAAUAAAGUGCCUGGAACAU